rnacentral:rRNA from 1 species
UACGGAAGGCAGCAGUGGGGAAUAUUGCACAAUGGGCGCAAGCCUGAUGCAGCCAUGCCGCGUGUAUGAAAAGGCCUUCGGGUUGUAAAGUACUUUCAGUCGUGAGGAAGGUGUUAAGGUUAAUAACCUUAGCAAUUGACGUUAGCGACAGAAGAAGCACCGGCUAACUCCGUGCCAGCAGCCGCGGUAAUACGGAGGGUGCGAGCGUUAAUCGGAAUUACUGGGCGUAAAGGGCACGCAGGCGGUUAAUUAAGUUGGAUGUGAAAUCCCCGGGCUUAACCUGGGAAUGGCAUUCAAGACUGGUUAGCUAGAGUCUUGUAGAGGGGGUAGAAUUCCAUGUGUAGCGGUGAAAUGCGUAGAGAUGUGGAGGAAGUACCGGUGGCGAAGGCGGCCCCGUGGACAAAGACUGACGCUCAUGUGCGAAAGCGUGGGGAGCA